rnacentral:misc_RNA from 1 species
GCAUUUGAAGACAAUUCACGCAUUCCAUACAUUCUUGCAUUUUUCAGUGUCCUACAACCAAUAAAAUUACAGGGUUUCCAGACCGGAUAGGCUAUGGUAAAAGCACAAAAUCAGGAGCCUAGACUAGGAAUAUUCGAGUCAAAACUUAAAUACGUAAGUGAUUCAGCACUAUACAAGAAAACCUAAACUUGGAUCACUAUACACUCUUUUAGGUUUUUUUUCCCCAAUAUAUACAUGAUACUGGAAUAAUGAAAGUUACCUACAACUGAACGCAUAAUCCCCAGAGAGCAACUAAUGACAAAUAAAAAAAUUGUAGCAGAUGCCAUUAAUAGACGGCAGUUGAAACUUCUACCAGUAGCCUUUCACACUGGCACAUUUGAUGAUUCAAUAUUGGGUAGCAAAACUGCAUGGAAGUUCAGGCACAUCCAAGAUCCAACAAUGUUGAAGCAUCAUCAUUUGGUCUCAUUACUCACCCAAAUUGAGCAACGUUCUUUGGUAGAUUGUCUUUAAGGGUUUUGUUUGCAACAAUUGCUUCUGUGUCAUUUGCAACAAUUGCUUCUGUGUCAAUCUCAUAAGAAGAGAGCAACCUUCUAUGAUCUUCAAAAUCAGGACUGGUCAGAUUGAUAGAGAGGUUUCUCAUCAACAACAGCACCGUUUCAACAUCUAUGGGGUCCAUUUUUUUAAGUUUCUGCAGAUGACCACUAGCAUUUGGGUCAAAUACACUGCCAAUAAAUUUGUAUACUUGAGCGAAGUCAGGCAGAACUCUCAAUGGAUGCCCAUGAUUCCCUAGCUCAGCUGAUUCCCCAAGUGGUUUUGUUCUAGGAGCACUCUCAGUGCUACUGCAACAAUUAUAUGCCACUUUUGUUUGAUUUGAUAAUCUGACAGCUGGCAAAUUAUUUUUCCGGGAAGCUGUAGCAGCACUAGCAAUUGGGUUCCUAGGCAUUGAUGCGGUAUCACGCCUUCGAACAAAUCCAGGUUCAAGGAGGGCAGACGAUGAUUGGAAGGAACCCGGAGGUUGUGAGAGCACUGGGGAAUUUUUAGUGGCUUUUUGAGGAUAUGGAUGAGCAGCUUUCCUUUUAGGCCUAGGAGGAGGCAGGUGUUCAUUGGUUCCACUCUUCUGAACCUUUAGAAAAUACUUCUGUGCAUGACUACGUAUCUGCAAAACAUCACUUUCAAUGUUUUCUUGUUGGUAUUGGUGCUUUUUGAUAUUUGAGAACAGAAAAAAAGGAAAGGAGGAGGGGAUUGGGGGUAGAUAAAACCAUACCGACUGUGUGAAAUCACAUAUAAUUCCUAUUCAUUAAGAAAAUUGCUGCAAUAACUACAGUGAAAAUCCUUGUGAGAAAGAGUGUAUACUCUAUUUGAGUUUAUGUAAAUUAUUGCCAGAGCAUUCUUGCAUCACCAAAUGCAUCAAGUGACAUGAGUGACAUUCAUACAGAAACAUUUAACUCAAAUAAGUAACAGGAAAUGUAUGCAACAGAUACGGCCAAAAAAUGAGAGAGUGACAGAGAGGACCAGCAAUAUUGUUUCUUCAAUAAUGAGAAUUAAAAUACAAGGGAGGACAACGACUAAUAAGAAUUACAUUUUGUCCGGAUAAUGUAAACUACAAAAUUAUCUUUGAUACCUGAAUAACUGAUUUUGACCCAACAAAUGCUUUAAUCUUUUUCCAGUCACGAUCAAAGCUGAAAAGGAUCAACGUAAACAUGAUAAGGGUGUGCAUGAAGAAAACAGGAUAAAGAGGAACUUAACAACCAUGAAAUCCCUAUUGUCAGGAAUAGUUAAUUCAUUUUUGGAUAGAAGUUUCCAACAAAAUUGAGCCCAAAAAUCAUGAGAUUGUUAUUGCAAAAAUGAGACGCCUCUUCUGAAAUAAUUAGUUGAAGAGCUUCGAGGAAUUUGUCGUGCUCAGGUUCGGUCCAGCUUUCUCUGGACUUGGUGAUGGUGUAGGGUUUUCGGAUCUUCUUAGACGGAUCCUCCGAUGAAGAUGUAGUGGAUGCAGCGGCGACCGGUCCAAAUCCGGGUAGGGCCAUUCCGUUCGGUUCCAAAUAGAAUCCGUCUUGCAGGUUCGGAUUUUUUGAGACCAUAUGAGAUAUUGAGAUUUGGGGUUUUAGCUUUGAAUUAUCAUAUUAAAGGAGAAACAACUCUUUUGCAGAGACACGAAGGGUGCUCAUA